rnacentral:tRNA from 1 species
GCGAGCGUGGUGAAAUGGUAUCACGAAAGCUUCCCAAGCUUCAGUCGGGGGUUCGAUUCCCCUCGCUCGCUCAA